AAAGUAUUGUUCCUGGGUGUGUCUGUGAGGGUGUUGCCAAAGGAAAUUAAUAGUUGAGUCUGCACUGGGAGAGGCUGACCCACCCUUAAUCUGGGUGGGCACCAUCUAAUCAGUUGCCAACUCAACUAGGAUAAAAGCAGGCAGAGGAAUGUGGAAGGACUUGACGGGUUAAGUCUUCCAUCCUUCAUCUUUCUCCCAUGCCAGAUGCUUCUUGCCCUCAAACAUCAGGCUCCAAGUUCUUCAGCUUUUGGACUCUUGGGCUUACAGCAGUGGUUUGCCAGGAGCUCUCGGACCUUUGACCGCAAAUGGAAGGCUGCACUGUCGGCUUCCCUACUUUUGAGGUUUUGGGACUCCGACUAUCUUCGUUGCUCCUCAGCUUGCAGACGGCCUAAUGUGAGACUUCACCUUUCGAUUGUUUUUGGUCCACCUUCUGUUAGACUUUACCAACUCCUGGCCCCCUCUAAUGUUGAAUGAAACUCUGCAGCUGGAGAAAGUCAAUUUUCACUUCUAAAAACCCUGGCUGGUAAUAUCAUCAGGAAGACGGGUGCUUCACCAUGCUUCUGCCUGUACCAGUGUACAGAAUAUAAAGCCUUGGAGGAACUGCAGUUGAUGACAGCAUCUUCCCCUUCUCGGAGGAUCACGGCUUGAGGACUCUGCACUGGUUGUUGGCUUCUCACCCCUGAUCAGAAAGACAAUCGAAUGAGAUGCUCAAUCUCGUGAAGGGAAGGGUGAUUUUCUCUCUUCCUUCCUUAUUUAAAACAUUAAGCAUCACCACAUAAUUACGGUACAUUUUCCUCACUUCUUAGGUCUGGUUCUUAAAAGGGCCCUUCCCAAGACAGAAAGCUAUUGUCAUUAAGAUGCUGUCAUAUCACAACCUCUCCCAGACUGAAUCGUGUACUCACAGGUCAACUGCCACAACAAGGUGCCUGAAAGCACUUUCAGGAGAGUCUCCAUCCUUGGCCUGCCAGAAUAUCCAGUCAGCUUCUGAAUGGGCUUCCUUAACAGGAGUUGCUUUGAACUCAGAAUGAGGCCUGUUGCAAUUGCUUCCAGGAUAUUGCAACUUUGGGGGCAACCAAUCAGAGACACAUCACAACAGUUUAACUGCAGAGAACUAAAUGCAUCUACCUAGAAUACUUUUUAAACAGCUCUCCCCUGUGGCCAGACUGAGGAAUGUUGAUUAAACUGUGGAUUUUGGCUUUUCUUGAGUAAGUUUUCAUACAGGAUAGGUUUUUUUCUUGCUAUAAGAAGGGCCUAUCAAUAUACUGUGUUACAGAAAGAAUUACUCCAGAAUUAAGAGAAAAAAGAAGUAUCAAGGGAAAAUGUAUUAUAUGUAUUUUACUACAUAUAUAUAUUUUAUAUACAUGCCCACACAUGGAUAUAAUAUAUAAGUAUGUGAACUCAUAGUAAUCUUUCAAACAGUGACAUUUCAUUAUAUUAUUUACUUGUGCAGAUUUCUUUCACUGCUCAUCAUUGUCUUCAAGAUAAUGUAAUGUACAAACAUCUUAUAAUGGCUUUUAAUUAUUUUCACAAAGUGGUUUCUGCUUAUUGCUUUAGUUUUAUAUUUACUGACAUACAUUUUGAGUUGUAUGCUCUGGCCAUCCUGAAUUAGUUUAAUGUCAUUCUCUUAACCUAAAUAUUGACUUCAUGUCUUUGUACAUUCUAUUUAUCUUUUUCUGUAAUACCCUGUCUCUGACUCCAUUUUUGGCUAACUGUUUUACAGAUCUUAACCUAGAUACUACUUCCCGUAGGCAGCUUUCCCUUACAUUUAAGUUUCCAAAUUAAAUGCCACUGUUAGGUGGUUAUAUUCUACGCUUCUCCUAUGAUAGCUUUUAUUAUACUAUAUUGUAAUACACUCUGCAAUAUUACAUGCUCCCUGAAGGCAGAAACAAUGCCUUAUUCUUCUCAUUUGCAUCUAUUGUUUUCAAGUCUAAGACACAUAUUAGGUAUCAAAUGAAUAACCUUAUUAAGUGAAAUCUCAAGUAAAUAGAAAACAUAUUUGGUAACCUCACAAAUAUUAUGGUUACUCAUUUAUAAAACUGAGAAUUAAGGUACAACUGCUUUGCAGUGGUGGUUUGAACAUUUUAUGACAUACAUAAUUUUAAUUAUAGCAUAAUUCUGGCUUUUAGUCCUCAGGUUCAUUGUGUUCUGUGUCACCUUGUACAUGCUGUUUCUAUCUUUAAGAUCACUUUUACUACCUUCUCUGUCUUUCAACUUGAUUGACUCCUACUAAAUCUUUAGGUCUCAGCAUAGGCAAGACAUACUACAGGCUGCCCCUGACUCACCUCUAAGGCUAAGAUGGGGGUGGGACUUUCCAUAUGCCUUCAUACCUCCCUUUGCUUUCCCAAGGUUGGCCUCAUUUCACUUUACUCUGUCUGAUUAGCUGCCUACAUAACUAACUAGACUACAAUUUAGUCAAAGAAGAUAUGUAUUUUUCCAUAGCUCUUUUUUUCCCAGCAUGUAACAUUUAUGCAGAACUCAGCAGGCAACCAGUUAACAAUUGCUAAUUGAUAAAAUGAAUAAAACUUGAGACCGAUGUUAGCUGGAAAUCAUUGCCCUUGCAUUACAGAUGAAGGUCCUGAUAUAAAAUGUUAAGAAGUUGAUUCACUUGCUCAAGAAGACACAACACACUUAUGGCUAGAACAAUGCUAGAAAGUAUGUUUUCCCAAUGCUGUUUCCCAAAUAUAUUAGAUAAGAAAAGAACGUAAAUAGAUAACUGUGGGAAUGAAUGAAAUGUGAAAGUUGAAGCAGUCUGAAGAGCUUGAACAAAAAGACAGGGAUGAGAUUGAAUGUAGUAUUCCUUUUUCUGGUAUGAUUCUACGUUGCUUUAGAAGGAUAAAGACAGCAUUAAUAUAUUCCCUCCCCAUUAUGCAAGACAUGAAAUGGGGUAAAUGUAACAGCAGUUAGAGUGAAAAAUGUCCAUUGUAACAGAACUUUAUAAUGGGUUUCAGUAAUUUAUAAAUCAUGUUAAAUAUAUCUGAAAAGAAGAAAAGCUGAUUUAUUGUCUUAAGGUAUUUGAAAUAGUUUUGUUAAGAGCAGGGAUAUAUAGUAACUGGACUGAUUAUUCAGCUGAAUUUCCACAUUUUUUGAAACUGAAAUGAAAUGAUUCAUCGUAGCUACAUUUCUCUACACCCUGCUAGAAGACAGCAACAACUCUCGCGUGUCUGCCCUUUUGCUGGGAUCUGUGGCUACAGCUUUGAAUUUGGGAACAGGCUCUGGAUGCCUGUGAGCAAAGAGUAUGCACAGCAGACUCUCUGCUCAGAGUAGCUGAGGCUCUAGAGUAGGAGCCCGAGAUGUGCAUGGAAUACCCUAAGUAUGAAGAGUGAUGCUUAAUAUUCCUUCCUGCUUUUCAUUCUCAUUUACGUGCAUUACGAAAAGGAUCUUGGAAUUUUUCCUGCCUAUACCAAUGUAAGCCAUAAAAAGAACAGAAAAAAUACUGCAUGUGAUAUUGGUGCUCCUGGAUAUGGAGGGAUAAUAAAUCUAAUUCACACUGAGUUAGCUUUACAUCCAUGUUCAGGAAUAUAGAAUUAAAUAUGAGAGAAUUGAUCAACCUACAGAUUUUACCUUAUAGUUAAACCAACCCCACAAGGAUCCCUAGAUGAACAAAGCUAAGCCAACCUAUAUAUCACCCCUAUUCUGAUAAAAAAUGUCUUCAGCAUUCCUGAAAUCACUGUUCCUGAAGUCACUGUUCAGAUUAUGCCAUAAGUAAUGGGAUUUACAGAGGCUUCCGCAUGCUUCUUGGGAAGUAUCCUGAAUUUCUGUAUCUUCUCUCUGUAAAGAUCUUCAGCUUCAGAAAAUCAGCCUGUGAGGAACAAGCUCUAAUCAUUUAUCUACAAAUACAAUAUACAUAUAAAACCAUAAUUUCAGCUUUUAAUUCUCUAUGAGUGAUAAUCUCACUCUUCUAUAGGUCAAUGAUGAAGACAUGUAUGAUAAGAAUUUUAAAGAUUGCUAGCUGUUCAAAAGCAUGACUUGUUAAUAGCUUCUGUAGGAAGGGCCCAUACUUGGUGGUUUGGGGCAUGAGUGACCAUGAACUCUCUUUUCUCACAAAGUUAGUGAUACUGAACAAAUCCCUGAACUCCCACAGCCUGUUUUCUCUACUAAAAUAUGGAUUAUUCUAAUAGUUGUCUUAAAUAAUUAUUAGAAGAAUUAAUGUAAUACAUGCAAAACAGGUGGAAUAAUAGAAGUUCAACAUAAUCUAGACAUUAUUACCAUUACACAACAGUGUGCUCUAAGUGAUAAAAUUCUUUCUCAUGGAGCUACAAGUAACAAUUCUGAUACCACUAUACAUGUUUAAUGGAAUUGGACUAUGAUGUAAAUGAAUAGUGGGUGGUAAUGACAAAAAUUCUUUGCUUGACCAAACUUUAGUCAGGCUUUUGAAGUUUCUCCUAAGCUCAUCUGUACAUUUUCUUGUAAAAUGUAGUUUUAACAAGAAUCCUUCUAAGUCAGUUUAGCAAGAACCACACCCUCCCCUGCUGCCCUCGUCAUCCUCCGCUUGAUAUCUGAUUACACUCCAUAUCCAACUGGGCUCCUCAUCCUCUAUCAUCCCCCAGGGGAUUGAUGUCUGAUCACCCUGACCUGUCUUCUGCAAGGAUCCUGUUUGGCUGGUCUAGCCAGACUAUCCCUUGGUUCUAAUGUUUCCUCUUAGUAAUUUCCUAUCCACUGACCCCUAAUCUGCCCCUUGGCUAGAAAUCUCCACUUGUCUAUGCUGUAUUCGGAGUUGAAUCCAAUUCUUCUCCCUCACUGCAAAAUCCUGUUGCAGUGGUCUCUGUACCUAUCAUGAUGGUCCUAAAUAAAUUCUGCCUCACCGUGUUUUAACAAGUAUUACUGAAUAACUUUUUGUUAACAGUGAGAGCCAGGCUGUGCACCCCUGUAGUGGGAAUUUAUGGAUAAGUAAGGGGAGGAGGCUAGUGUGAUCCACGUGGUAAUGAUUUAGCAUUGGAGACAUUGCUAAGAACGAAUGUUUAACUUAAUAUAGAUACAGAUGGUUAUGCUACAUAUAGAAAUAUUUAUAGAUAUGCAGAUAUACAUAAGUUAGUAUUCACACAUGCAAUUCUUUGCUCAGAAAUGCCUGUACACUGAGAAAAACUAAAAGAAAAGACAUCUCAGGAAAUGUUCAUCACUGGAAGAACCUGCAGUAGGACCUUGGUUUUCCCAUUCCAAACACACAUCCUUGCCCCCUAGUAUACAAGGGAGACAGGGCACCCGCAUUCCAGAAGCUAGCAGAAACAAAGCAUCACUAGAGAUUUAUGCUUUAGCUAAAUCAGCAACCUCUUUCUGAAAGUAGAAAAGGAGAGUGGUUAGACUCUUAAACACUCUAAAACUCAGGGAACUUUCUUAACUUAUUUGUAAGGUUUUGUCAUGUAUCAGUCUUUCUUUAGGCUCAACUUGCCUCACCUACUUCAAAG
rnacentral:lncRNA from 1 species